rnacentral:rRNA from 1 species
GACGAACGCUGGCGGCGUGCCUAAUACAUGCAAGUCGAGCGAAUCUUGAGGUGCUUGCACCUCUUGGUUAGCGGCGGACGGGUGAGUAACACGUGGGCAACCUGCCUGUAAGACUGGGAUAACUUCGGGAAACCGGAGCUAAUACCGGAUAAUCCUUUUCCUUUCAUGAGGAAAAGCUGAAAGUCGGUUUUUCGCUGACACUUACAGAUGGGCCCGCGGCGCAUUAGCUAGUUGGUGAGGUAACGGCUCACCAAGGCGACGAUGCGUAGCCGACCGGAGAGGGUGAUCGGCCACACUGGGACUGAGACACGGCCCAGACUCCUACGGGAGGCAGCAGUAGGGAAUCUUCCGCAAUGGACGAAAGUCUGACGGAGCAACGCCGCGUGAGCGAUGAAGGCCUUCGGGUCGUAAAGCUCUGUUGUUAGGGAAGAACAAGUAUCGGAGUAACUGCCGGUACCUUGACGGUACCUAACCAGAAAGCCACGGCUAACUACGUGCCAGCCGCCGCAGUAA